ensembl:lncRNA
GUAAGUAACUCACACCCCCUAAUUUAUGGGGUUCAGCUUCCCACAGGUCAUUUUCCUCUGAAACCACUUUCCUCUCCAGCUAGCAUCCACUCUCACAGAGCAAUGCGCCUGGCCCAAGAAGGAAUGUCGUGGUGAGCCUGGUCUGAGUGGCCUCGCACCCAGGCCGGCAUUACCCAGGGCUCCCCGCACCUCCCUCAAGGCUCCAUCGAGUGUGCUUGGCACUGCCCGUCAAGAACAAGCACAGGAUCUGAACAGACCAUGUAUCGACCUUCCCUGGCCAGCGUUCAGAGCCGUCUUGGUUUCCGCUGUUGCUGUUGGCCCGAGUUGCUGGCACACGAUGGGAGCCGUGCCUUGAAAAGCAGCAGAGAUCAGAGGAAACCAAGUGGAGCUUUUGGAGCAACAGAGAAGACAGGUCUGCAGAGCAGAGGCGCUCUGAGGCCAACAGAAGGAAGGAAGAAACACGGGCUCCUCUGCCUCUGGGUCACAACCAGCUCACAAAUACCGGUUCAUUCACACACAUGCACACACUCACACACACUCAUACACGAUGGAAUCUCUUCCCUGAACCCCCACUGCCCUCCUCCUUCACCUCCUGCCCCCCCGACACACACACACACAAAGAAGCAAUCUGGUGCAGAAUAACGAUUCCAAAUUCAGAGGCUUGUGUGUAGCUUUGUUCCCACCUGAAGGAAGGACAGGGGGCAGCUAAGAAGUUACUUGGAGAACCGGACUAGGUGGUAUGGCACAAGGUCCUCGUGAGACACACACGUCAGCAGUGGUUCUUAACCCCUUUGAGCGUAUAAUUAUCACAAACGUCCCCCUGCCUGCCAAUCCUCGUCCCAGAGAAAUGUCCAGACACGUAACAUUUCUGUGCAAGAUCAGGCCCUUCUGAAGCCGAGAGCGGACCAUGGAUUACAGGUCCAGGAUCCCAGCUCUGGAGCAGUCAGUCCCCGCAAGCAGGAAGCAGAAUUGCCAAGCACACAGCCCGUCCCCCUUCAGCACUCCAGCACCCCUUGACUGGCAGGUCUCGGCAACGCAGAGCCUCCCACUGCCAUGCCCCCCACACUCACUGCGAGCUGCCCUUUUAAACUUGCGACCCCUGGCUUUUCUCAGAAAAGGCUCUGCAUCUCACCAUC